CCAGACUCCUACGGGAGGCAGCAGUGGGGAAUAUUGGGCAAUGGAGGAAACUCUUACCCAGCAAUGCCGCGUGAAUGAAGAAGGUCUUCGGAUUGUAAAGUUCUUUAAUUGGGGACGAAAAAAAUGACGGUACCCAAGGAAUAAGCCCCGGCUAACUACGUGCCAGCAGCCGCGGUAAUACGGGGGGUGCAAGCGUUGUCCGGAAUCAUUGGGCGUAAAGCGUUCGUAGGCGGUAUGUCAAGUCUGAUGUUAAAGCCCGGGGCUCAACUCCGGUUCGGCAUUGGAUACUGGCAAACUAGAAUGUGGUAGAGGUAAAGGGAAUUCCUGGUGUAGCGGUGAAAUGCGUAGAUAUCAGGAGGAACAUCGGUGGCGAAAGCGCUUUACUGGACCAUUAUUGACGCUGAGGAACGAAAGCCAGGGGAGCAAAUGGGAUUAGAUACCCCCGUAC
rnacentral:rRNA from 1 species